GCACCCGUAGCUCAGUUGGUUAGAGUGCAUGCUUGACAUGCAUGAGGUCGCUGGUUCGAGUCCAGCCGGGUGCA
rnacentral:tRNA from 2 species